GUUUGUGAUUAAUUCGGCUGUCUGGUCCAGCAUACGUAUCUAUCGAUUGUUGUGAAAAUGGGAUACCAAGAUGCUAGCUGUUUCUUUUUCCAAUAAUACGUAAGGAAUACAUGUACUUUCCUUCUAUGAUUAUAUCAUCCAUAAAGAUUACGACAUAGUGAAUCAAGUGACACGGGUAACGAUCAUAUUGAUCAAAAUUUUAUACACUAUUCUACGUUCCUCUUCGGUAAUAAUUCAUUCUAAAAAUUCUAUAAAAAUCCUUUGUCUCUGAUUCCCCUUGAUAUUUGGUAACAGAGAGAUAUUUGCCGUGAAAAUUGAUAUUUGAAGAAAAAGAAAUGAAAAUUAAUGCGAACAUUUUCCAUCUCGAUGAAUUAAUUAAAAGUGUCAAUCUCUCGUUCGCUUCCUUAUCCGAGUUCGACUUUUCCAACUUUCUUUUUUUCUUCUUGAUAGACACAGUUCAAAUAGAAAUUAUCAUUCUUCUUUUUUCUUUUUAUUUUUUUUUGCCGUCACCGUACUCAAGUAAAGUCGGUUUCGGAAAACCGGGUCAUCCUUAAAUAGUACUUCACUCUUGAGAUGUCAGUGUUGCGUAAUAUCCAAAGUACCAGUUAAACCCUAAAUAUUUACAUGCCUCAAAGAAGGCCUUUCCUCGUCGAAGUUUUCCUCUUCUUACCUCCGCGUAGACUCUUAUCUCCAUGUUCUGGAACUCGAAGACGAGAAGACCGAUCCGACAGUCAAACUCGAGCGUGUAUUAAACUUUCAUUUCUUAGAAUGCUUCCUUCCACAUGCUAUUUUACUCCGAACGAAAGAAAAUACCCGCGUCUUGUCGUUUUCAGAAGGAUACGAUUUCGCUGAAUCACAAGGUUCAGUUAUGUAGAGUCGGAGCAAACUUUCAGCUUUUUGCUAUGUUAAAAAGCGUUGAAACCGAACUACAUUUUCAUUUGAACGAACCAACAAGGAAAUGCUCUCUUCUCCCUUAAUUCAUUAAACCACCGGACCUCGAGAUUGAGUAGAGUUCAAAGCAAAUCCAUCAAGUUAGAAAGCAAGGAAAGCGCCCUUUCGACGGAACAGCGCCAAACCUGUGACAUGUCAUGAAGUUACUUAAACGGGAUUCGUAGGUACCAAGGUCAUGUCAUCGUCUUUCUCGUCGCCUUUGUCAGUGGUAGCGUUGGUCUACGAAUCGAAGAAGAGCACCGGCCGUUGGUGGUUUCGAGGGUGUU